UGCAUUCACUACCGCAAGUCGCUCUGGAUAAGAGUGUCUGCUAAAUGACUAAAA
rfam:Salmo salar isolate Sally breed double haploid chromosome ssa06, whole genome shotgun sequence.